ensembl:lncRNA
CGGGUGUACAAUGAGCAAAGUUCAGCAAAAGGACGGCGUUUUCUGAGAAAAAAAUGACAGGCUGUUGGUCCAGAGCAGCAUCUCUGCAGCUUAGGACCACCAGGCUGCCAUCCCGGCACUGUUCUGCUUGCAGACAGCGCUCCAUGUUGUGGCACUCAGAGGGCGUCCCUCUGCCGUGCAGCCCUCCCCAGUGCCUGCCUACCUGUCACUGCUCCAGAUGGGAUGGAGCUGUUUCCUUUGCAGUGCCUGCUAUCUUUUCACAUGCGUGCACCCCAUCCCUCUGCACAACCACGAGCAUGAAGACUCGAGCACUGCUCCAGCCUUGCACACUGCCAUGUGCAUGCACACAGAUGCAAAACUUUCACCUGCAAGCACUGUGCACACAGCCAAGCGCAAUGCAUGCUCUGAUGUUCAGCCCCACCUCUGCACAACCCCGUAUGAACGCAUACCUGCACUCACAGCUCGAGGACAAAAUGCUGCUGGCACGGCACAGCCAACACGCAGGCGGUGGGCAACAUCAGGAGGAAAGGCCCCCCUUUACGCUCAUUCAUUCUCCUCUCUUGAAUGAACGCAUUGGUGCACAGCUGGAGCCCCAUCCUGAGAUGUGGAUUGCUGCGGGGUUCUUCGUUGGUGGGCUAUGGGGAUCCUGGGAUGGUAAUGGGGGACCUGUCACGGACUGUUGGACUCUGAGAUCCCAGGAGAGGACUGAGGGGGUAAGGGAGGUGUGAGGAAGAAAACAAGGGGUUUCAGCGGGAGCUCAGAGGGGGAUGUGGGCUGCUGCUGGGGACUGCAGGAGCCUGUGAUGGCCCAGCUUGUCUGUGGGGGAGAUGUGCUGAGUCUGAGAAGGUCCUUGAGGAGCUAUAGGGCUCUCUGGGGGUGUGUUUGGAGGAUAUAGGGACAUUAAGGGAUGUGGGAACACAGGCUGCAGGAGCAGAAUGCUGUUCAGGAGAAAACAAGACGUGGGCUGCAGGUGGGACACAGGGGCAUGGGCUAGUAUGGGGACGUAGAGAGUAUGGGAGGAUGUGGGGAGCGGUUUGAGGUAAAAAGGGGGGUGGGGUGGGCAGAGUUUGCAGUGGUUUCAUUUCAUCCUGAGAGGGGACUGGGCGUCCCUGUGGCCCAAAAGUGGGGCCCUGAGCCGUUACCCCACAUGAGCCAUAACCCAAGAUGACCUCAUCGCCCUGUAUGUGCGUGACCCCAUGGCUGCACGUGACCCACAGCCCUGAUGGGAACCAUACCCCCACAUGACCCUGUGACUCCCUGACUCUUCCUGCCCCCAUCAUGCUGCGAACUGACGCCAUGUGGCCCAUAAAUCUGGGAUCCUUGCCCCCACCUCACCCCGACCAUACAACCCAUGUGAUCCAUAACUCCAUGUCACCCCAUCUGUCCCUACCAUCCAAUCUGACCCUAUCACUGUGAUUCAGAACCCCAUCUGACCCCAUAGCCCCACAUCACCCCGUAACUCUGUGACCCUGCAGGACUCCUAUGUGACCCACGACCCCACGUCCUCACCCCAUGUGGGCAUAGAACCAGCUGCAUGCUAGGAAAAGGCAUCUCCUCCUCCAGGUGGGGCUGCCCCACAGCUGCCCCAGAGAAGCCAUGGGGUGGGCUGCAGCCGUACGCCUCAGUUUGGAGAGCUGGGAGCUGGCCAAAGGGGCCAGGAGAAGGACAUGAAUGCUUCUGUAGGGAAAUACCUGUCCCAGGGUUUGGUGGCUUGGUAGCUUCUGUUUCUGUAAGUGGAU